rnacentral:rRNA from 1 species
GACGAACGCUGGCGGCGUGCUUAACACAUGCAAGUCGAACGGAAAGGCCCUUCUUUUGUGGGGUGCUCGAGUGGCGAACGGGUGAGUAACACGUGAGUAACCUGCCCUUGACUUUGGGAUAACUUCAGGAAACUGGGUCUAAUACCGGAUAUGAGCUCCUGCUGCAUGGUUGGUGUUGGAAAGUUUCGGCGGUUGGGGAUGGACUCGCGGCUUAUCAGCUUGUUGGUGGGUUAGUGGCUUACCAAGGCUUUGACGGGUAGCCGGCCUGAGAGGGUGACCGGCCACAUUGGGAAUGGGAGAAGGCCCAGACUCCUACGGGAGGCAGCAGUGGGGAAUAUUGCAAAAUGGGCGGAAGCCUGAUGCAGGAACGCCGCGUGCGGGAUGACGGCCUUCGGGUUGUAAACCGCUUUCGCCUGUGACGAAGCGUGAGUGACGGUAAUGGGUAAAGAAGCACCGGCUAACUACGUG